AAGUCGUAACAAGGUUUCCGUAGGUGAACCUGCGGAAGGAUCAUUAACACUUUCAAAAUGCCGGCAAAGGUUCUAGUCUCUCAGGCAAAGAACCUUUUGUUGGAAAAGCUGAUCGUUAAGAGUAGUAGCAAUACUUUCUUUUAGCGAUCACCAUAACAAGUAACCUGGGGUACUUUACUAGUAGGGAUGCAUUUCGGUGCAUCUGUGCUUUUAGAGCCCUUCUAAUAAUCCCUAAUUUUUUACCAUUUUACCCCUUAUAAACUAAUAAGACUGAUAUGACAUGAUUUAAUGUCACAAUUAAAUCUAAAAACAACUCUUAACAAUGGAUAUCUAGGUUCUG
rnacentral:misc_RNA from 1 species